UAUAAAAUUAAUAGAAACUGAAAUGACAAGAUUAAUUUUGAAAUUAUUAAAGUUAAAUUAAAAAUAUUGAAAAAUGUUAUUUUUAGAUUUCAGAUGUUUUUGGGUCCAAACAGAAACAACAGAGACUUCUUCAGUGAACUCAGUAUAAACCACAGCUGAAGUUUUAUUGAUGUUCUGAUCGUCAGAGAAUAAAACCUGUCGAGGUCGAUGCCUUGCUCAGAGGCAGUUACUGAGUUUUUACUGAAACAGUUUGUGUUGGAGUCUGAAGAGGGAGAGACACAUGUCUGACAUUUUUCUACAGACAGGACGAAGGACAUUCCUGAGUGUGUGUGUGUGUGUGAGAGGAGGUGAAGGGGUGUGUGUGUGUGUGUGUGUGUGUGUGUGAGAGGAGGUGAAGGUGUGUGUGUGUGUGUGUGUGUGUGUGUGUGUGAGAGGAGGUGAAGUGUGUGUGUGUGUGUGUGUGUGUGUGUGUGUGAGAGGAGGUGAAGGUGUGUGUGUGUGUGUGUGUGUGUGUGAGAGGAGGUGUGUGUGUGUGUGUGUGUGUGUGUGUGAGAGGAGGUGAAGAGGUGUGUGUGUGUGUGUGUGUGUGUGUGUGUGAGAGGAGGUGGUGAAUCCUGUUUGGCGGUUGGUCGUCCUGGCCUCUGAUUGGCUGGUUCAGUCUGUGUUGUGUAACUCUGAGUGUCACUGUACGGAGGAUCAUUACUGCCAAACAGACACAACGUUUCUGAUACUGAUGUCUGAGUUAAAAUAAGUUUUAACAUUCAGAUAUUAAACACGUUCUAUUUAAGAGUUUUAAGUCACAACUCAGAUUUUAGAUUAAAAUUAUAAAAUGAUUUUCAAGCUUAAGUUGUGAAAUAACAACUCAGAUGUUUGAUGCUGCGCGAUAAAGACAGAUAAAAACUUAAUCAACAUUAUGGAGAAGAUUCCUACAGAAACAUCUCUAUAUAUCUCUACCAGACUCCAUUGACAAAAACAGGGAUUUUACUGGGAGCUGAUGGAGGCAGUGGUAUUCCAGCAGCUCCUGGUUAAAUCCCUGUUUUUGUCUAUGGAGUCUGGUAGAGAUA